rnacentral:SRP_RNA from 1 species
GCUGGGCUUGGUAGCACGAGCUUGUAACCCAAGUGGGAGCAUUAAGAUGGUGGAACGUAGGGCUUGCCUUGAAGGCUGGGCUGGGGUUGCUAUCCACUCGCCUGCCUGUUCCAAGUGGUGAGUCUCGCAGAGGCUUCACUGUCCUUAGAUUGGAGGAUAACUGGCUGGUGCAACCUCAGUCCACCAGUGCCUGAUGGGCUGCCCAAGUGAACCCCCAUCUUU